rnacentral:misc_RNA from 1 species
UUUCCGUAGGUGAACCUGCGGAAAGAUCAUUAAAAAAUUGGACUCCAUUGGUGAGUUCAUUAAUAAUCCCUACCCUUUGUGAAUUUGUUUGUUUGAAUAAUUUUCUUUCCAAAAAAAAUUAUUGAAUGUCUUUCCUUGUUUUGGUGGAGCUUGUAAAGUGAAACCAGGCAGGGGAAUGGCAAACAAUAAUUAUUUUUGAAAAAGACCUUUUCUUAAAAUUAAACUUUUUGUAUUCAUUUGUCUAAAAUUAAUUUUUAUAAUAUAAAAACAACUUUUGACAAUGGAUCUCUUGGUUCUCGCAACGAUGAAGAACGCAGCAAAAUGCGAUAAGUAGUGUGAAUUGCAGAAUACGUGAAUCAUCGAAUCUUCGAACGCAUAUUGCACUUUUUUAGUUUACUAAAAAAGUAAGUCUGUUUGAGUAUCAGUAAAAUAUUCUCAUAAAAAACAUUGUUUUUUUUAUGGUUAUGAGUGUUUUACAACGAUAACAAGUUGUUUCACUUUAAAUUCCUUGUUAUCAAAAAAAUCAUUAAAAGCUAAUUUUAAAGAUUUUUUAAAAUUGGAUAAAAUUUUCCCGUAAAAAGGAAUAACCUAAACAAUUUUAAAAAAUUAAAAUUGGUUUGAUUUUAUUGAAACCCAAAGAAAAAAAAAACGAAAUUAACUUGAUCUCAAAUCAGAUAAGAGUACCCGCUGAACUUAAGCAUAUCAAUAAGCGGAGGAAAAGAAACUAACUAGGAUUCCCUCAGUAACGGCGAGUGAAGCGGGAAGAGCUCAAAUUUGAAAUCUUCAAGGUUUUACCUUGACGAAUUGUAGUUUAAAGAAGUGUUUUCUGUUGGAGUUUUGGUAAAAGUUCUUUGGAAAAGGACAUCAUAGAGGGUGAGAAUCCCGUAUUUGACCAUUAUCUCCAGCUUUGUGAUACACUUUCAAAGAGUCGGAUUGUUUGGGAAUGCAGUCCAAAAUGGGUGGUAAAUUUCAUCUAAAGCUAAAUACUGGCGAGAGACCGAUAGCGAACAAGUACCGUGAGGGAAAGAUGAAAAGAACUUUGAAAAGAGAGUUAAACAGUACGUGAAAUUGUCAAAAGGGAAGCGUUUGACACCAGUGUUGUUUUCUCGAAAAUCAAUUAAAAAAGGCCGGAUUUUGUGUUGUAUUGACUUUAUCAGCUUUCUGCACUCUUUUCUUGUCUUUUUUAAUGCACUUUUCGUUUAACAAGUCAACAUCAAUUUCUUUUGUUGUAAAAGGGUCAUUGGAAGGUGGCUUUCUUUUCGGAGAAAGUGUUUAUAGCCUUUGGCCUCUGCAAUCGGAGAGAUUGAGGUCUGCAGCGUAGAUCCUUCGGGGUUAGAUACAUUUGUGCUAAGUUAUAGCCUUCCAUAGACAACUUGUUGACUAUGAUCAGUCAUGUAGCUUACUCGCUUAUGCUAUUU